rnacentral:rRNA from 1 species
UACGGAAGGGGCAAGCGUUGUUCGGAAUCAUUGGGCGUAAAGGGCGCGUAGGUGGUUCUGUAUGUCUACCGUGAAAGCGUACGGCUCAACCGUAUUUUGUCGGUGGAAACUGCAGGACUUGAGGCUGGGAGGGGCUGGUGGAAUUCCCUGUGUAGCGGUGAAUGCGUAGAGAUGGGGGAGAACACUCGUGGCGAAGGCGGCCAGCUAGACCAGUUCUGACACUGAGGCGCGACAGCGUGGGGAGCAAACAGG